GAUGAACGCUGGCGGCGUGCUUAACACAUGCCAGUCGAACGAUGAAGCAGUGAAACGCGAACUUCGGUUCAAGUCUCACUUCGGAUUAGUGGCAGACGGGUGAGUAACGCGUGAGCAACCUACCUCUCACAAAGGGAUAGCCUCGGGAAACCGUGAUUAAUACCAUAUGACACAUUCAUAAGGCAUCUUAAGAAUGUUAAAGCUACGGCGGUAAGGGAUGGGCUCGCGUCCCAUUGGCUUGCUGGUGAGGUAACGGCACGCCCAAGCGACGAGGGGUAGGGGACCCGGGCGGGGAGGGUGACAGGUUACAUUUGAGAUGCGGCACAGUCCCAAAUCCGACGGAAGGGUGGGGAAGGGAAUAUUGCACGAUGGAGGGAAAUCUGAUGACGCGACGCGGCGUGAGAGAUGAAGGAAUUCGUAUCGUAAAGCUCUGUUUUAUGGGAAGAAAAGGACGGUACCAUAGGAGAAAGCCCCGGCUAAAUACGUG
rnacentral:rRNA from 1 species